GAUGAACGCUGGCGGCGUGCCUAAUACAUGCAAGUCGAGCGAACGGACGAGAAGCUUGCUUCUCUGACGUUAGCGGCGGACGGGUGAGUAACCCGUGGAUCACCUACCUAUAAGACUGGGAUCACUUCUGGAAACCGUCGCUAAUACCGGAUAAUCUUUUGAACCGCAUGGUUCAAGAUUGAAAGACGGUCUUGCUGUCACUUAUAGAUGGAUCCGCGCUGCAUUAGCUAGUUGGUAAGGUAACGGCUUACCAAGGCAACGAUGCAUAGACGACCUGAGAGGGUGAUCGGCCACACUGGAACUGAGACACGGUCCAGACUCCUACGGGAGGCAGCAGUAGGGAACCUUCCGCAAUGGGCGAAAGCCUGACGGAGCAACGCCGCGUGAGUGAUGAAGGUCUUCGGAUCGUAAAACUCUGUUAUUAGGGAAGAACAUAUGUGUAAGUAACUGUGCACAUCUUGACGGUACCUAAUCAGAAAGCCACGGCUAACUACGUG
rnacentral:rRNA from 1 species